UGAGUAACCUGCCCUUAACUCUGGGAUAAGCCUGGGAAACUGGGUCUAAUACCGGAUAUACCUCAUGGACUGCAUGGUUUGUGGGGGAAAGCUUUUGCGGUGUGGGAUGGACUCGCGGCCUAUCAGCUUGUUGGUGAGGUAAUGGCUCACCAAGGCGACGACGGGUAGCCGGCCUGAGAGGGUGACCGGCCACACUGGGACUGAGACACGGCCCAGACUCCGUACGGGAGCAG
rnacentral:rRNA from 1 species